AUGGCAAAGUUAAUAAGGGCGCACGGUGGAUGCCUUGGCAUUAAGAGCCGAAGAAGGACGUGACUAACGACGAUAUUCUAGGGGGAGCAGUAAGUACGCAUUGAUCCCUAGGUCUCCGAAUGGGGAAACCCACUAUGUUAUGCAUAGUAUCCGUAAGUGAAUACAUAGCUUACGCGAAGGUAACGCAGAGAACUGAAACAUCUAAGUACCUGCAGGAAGAGAAAGUAAAAACGAUUUCCUAAGUAGCGGCGAGCGAACGGGAAACAGGCCAAACCAAGAAGCUUGCUUCUUGGGGUUGUAGGACUGCAACGUGGACUUAAAGUCUAUAGAAGAAUUACCUGGGAAGGUAAGCCAAAGAGAGUAAUAGCCUCGUAUUUGAAAUAGACUUUAUACCUAGCAGUAUCCUGAGUAGGGCUGGACACGCGAAAUCCAGUUUGAAUCCGGGAGGACCAUCUCCCAAGCCUAAAUACUCCUUAAUGACCGAUAGUGAACCAGUACCGUGAGGGAAAGGUGAAAAGAACCCCGGGAGGGAGUGAAAUAGCACCUGAAACCGUGUGCCUACAAGAAGUUCGAGCCCGUCAAUGGGUGAGAGCGUGCCUUUUGUAGAAUGAACCGGCGAGUUACGUUAUGAUGCGAGGUUAAGCUGAAGAGGCGGAGCCGUAGCGAAAGCGAGUCUGAAUAGGGCGCUUUAGUAUCAUGAUGUAGACCCGAAACCUAGUGACCUAUCCAUGAGCAGGUUGAAGGUGCGGUAAGACGCACUGGAGGACCGAACCAGGACACGUUGAAAAGUGUUUGGAUGACUUGUGGAUAGCGGAGAAAUUCCAAACGAACUGGGAGAUAGCUGGUUCUCUCCGAAAUAGCUUUAGGGCUAGCGUCGCAAUUUAAGUGUAUUGGAGGUAGAGCACUGUUUGGAUGAGGGGCCCAUCUCGGGUUACCAAUUUCAGAUAAACUCCGAAUGCUAAUACACAUGUGCGGCAGUCAGACUGCGAGUGCUAAGAUCCGUAGUCGAAAGGGAAACAGCCCAGACCACCAGCUAAGGUCCCAAAAUAUAUGUUAAGUGGAAAAGGAUGUGGGGUUGCACAGACAACUAGGAUGUUAGCUCAGAAGCAGCUAUCAUUCAAAGAGUGCGUAAUAGCUCACUAGUCGAGUGACCCUGCGCCGAAAAUGUACCGGGGCUAAACAUAUUACCGAAGCUGUGGAUUUAAUAUUAAUUAAAUGGUAGGAGAGCGUUGUAAUCAGCGAUGAAGGUAUACCGUGAGGGGUGCUGGAGCGAUUACAAGUGAGAAUGCCGGUAUGAGUAGCGCAAGAUAAGUGAGAAUCUUAUCCACCGUAAGACUAAGGUUUCCAGGGGAAGGCUCGUCCGCCCUGGGUUAGUCGGGACCUAAGGCGAGGCCGAAAGGCGUAGUCGAUGGACAACAGGUUGAUAUUCCUGUACUAGUAUUGUUAGUGAUGGAGGGACGCAGUAGCUAAAGGGAGCCAGUUAAUGGAUUCUGGUCUAAGCAGUGAGGUGUGGAAUGUGUCAAAUGCAUUUUCCUUUAACAUUGAGCUGUGAUGGGGAAGCAACUACGGUUGCGAAGCCCUUGAUGUCACACUGCCAAGAAAAUCUUCUAGCGUUUAAUUCAAUACUACCCGUACCGCAAACCGACACAGGUAGUCGAGGCGAGUAGCCUCAGGUGAUCGAGAGAACUCUCGUUAAGGAACUCGGCAAAAUGACCCCGUAACUUCGGGAGAAGGGGUGCUGUAGAAAUACAGCCGCAGUGAAAAGAUCCAAGCAACUGUUUAUCAAAAACACAGCUCUCUGCUAAACCGCAAGGUGAUGUAUAGGGGGUGACGCCUGCCCGGUAUGAGUAGCGCAAGAUAAGUGAGAAUCUUAUCCACCGUAAGACUAAGGUUUCCAGGGGAAGGCUCGUCCGCCCUGGGUUAGUCGGGACCUAAGGCGAGGCCGAAAGGCGUAGUCGAUGGACAACAGGUUGAUAUUCCUGUACUAGUAUUGUUAGUGAUGGAGGGACGCAGUAGGCUAAAGGGAGCCAGUUAAUGGAUUCUGGUCUAAGCAGUGAGGUGUGGAAUGUGUCAAAUGCAUUUUCCUUUAACAUUGAGCUGUGAUGGGGGAAGCAACUACGGUUGCGAAGCCUUGAUGUCACACUGCCAAGAAAAUCUUCUAGCGUUUAAUUCAAUACUACCCGUACCGCAAACCGACACAGGUAGUCGAGGCGAGUAGCUCAGGUGAUCGAGAGAACUCUCGUUAAGGAACUCGGCAAAAUGACCCCGUAACUUCGGGAGAAGGGGUGCUGUAGAAAUACAGCCGCAGUGAAAAGAUCCAAGCAACUGUUUAUCAAAAACACAGCUCUCUGCUAAACCGCAAGGUGAUGUAUAGGGGGUGACGCCUGCCCGGUGCUGGAAGGUUAAGAGGAGGGGUUAGACAUUAGUCGAAGCUCUGAAUUGAAGCCCCAGUAAACGGCGGCCGUAACUAUAACGGUCCUAAGGUAGCGAAAUUCCUUGUCGGGUAAGUUCCGACCCGCACGAAAGGCGUAAUGAUUUGGAUACUGUCUCAACGAGAGACUCGGUGAAAUUUUAGUACCUGUGAAGAUGCAGGUUACCCGCGACAGGACGGAAAGACCCCAUGGAGCUUUACUGCAGAUUGAUAUUGAGUACCUGUGAAGCAUGUACAGGAUAGGUAGGAGACUUUGACCUUGGGACGCUAGUUUCAAGUGAGUCGCUGUUGGGAUACUACCCUUGCUUCAUGGUUGCUCUAACCCACACGCAUAAUCGGCGUGGGAGACAGUGUCUGUCGGGCAGUUUGACUGGGGCGGUCGCCUCCUAAAGAGUAACGGAGGCGCCCAAAGGUUCCCUCAACAUGGUUGGAAAUCAUGUGUAGAGUGUAAAGGUAUAAGGGAGCUUGACUGCGAGAGCUACAACUCGAGCAGGUAGGAAACUAGGGCUUAGUGAUCCGGUGGUACCGCAUGGAAGGGCCAUCGCUCAACGGAUAAAAGCUACCCUGGGGAUAACAGGCUUAUCUCCCCCAAGAGUUCACAUCGACGGGAGGUUUGGCACCUCGAUGUCGGCUCGUCGCAUCCUGGGGCUGUAGUCGGUCCCAAGGGUUGGGCUGUUCGCCCAUUAAAGCGGCACGCGAGCUGGGUUCAGAACGUCGUGAGACAGUUCGGUCCCUAUCCGUCGCGGGCGUAGGAAAUUUGAGAGGAUCUGCCUUAGUACGAGAGGACCGGGGUGGACUUACCGCUGGUGUACCAGUUGUUCCGCCAGGAGCACCGCUGGGUAGCUAUGUAGGGAAGGGAUAAGCGCUGAAAGCAUCUAAGUGCGAAGCCCACCUCAAGAUGAGAUUUCCCAUUCUUUAUGAAUUAAGAGCCCUGAGAGAUGAUCAGGUUGAUAGGCUGGAAGUGGAAGUCCUGCGAGGGAUGGAGCGGACCAGUACUAAUAGCUCGAGGACUUUACCAAG
rnacentral:rRNA from 1 species